rnacentral:tRNA from 1 species
UCCCUGGUGGCUCAGACGGUAAAGCGUCUGCCUGCAAUGCAGGAGACCCGGGUUCUAUUUCUGGGUCGGGAA